rnacentral:rRNA from 1 species
UACGUAGGGUCCAAGCGUUAUCCGGAAUCACUGGGCGUAAAGCGUGCGUAGGUGGCGCGUUAAGUGAGAUGUUAAAUCGUGUGGCUCAACCAUAUCGAUGCAUCUCAUACUGGCGUGCUAGAGGACAGCAGAGGCAAGUGGAAUUUGUAGUGUAGCAGUGAAAUGCGUAGAUAUUACAAGGAACACCAAUGGCGAAGGCAGCUCGCUGGGCUACUCCUGACACUGAGGUACGAAAGCGUGGGGAGCGAACAGG